rnacentral:rRNA from 1 species
AACGAACGCUGGCGGCAGGCUUAACACAUGCAAGUCGAACGCAUCCUUCGGGGUGAGUGGCAGACGGGUGAGUAACGCGUGGGAACGUGCCCUUCAGUUCGGGAUAACCCAGGGAAACUUGGGCUAAUACCGGAUACGUGCGAGAGCAGAAAGAUUUAUCGCUGAAGGAUCGGCCCGCGUCUGAUUAGCUAGUUGGUGGGGUAAUGGCCCACCAAGGCGACGAUCAGUAGCUGGUCUGAGAGGAUCAUCAGCCACAUUGGGACUGAGACACGGCCCAAACUCCUACGGGAGGCAGCAGUGGGGAAUAUUGGACAAUGGGCGCAAGCCUGAUCCAGCCAUGCCGCGUGAGUGAUGAAGGCCUUAGGGUUGUAAAGCUCUUUCGUCCGGGACGAUAAUGAUGGUACCGGAAGAAGAAGCCCCGGCUAACUUCGUGCCAGCCGCCGCCGUAAAAC